rnacentral:rRNA from 1 species
AUGAACGCUAGCUACAGGCUUAACACAUGCAAGUCGAGGGGCAGCAUGGUCUUAGCUUGCUAAGGCCGAUGGCGACCGGCGCACGGGUGAGUAACACGUAUCCAACCUGCCGUCUACUCUUGGACAGCCUUCUGAAAGGAAGAUUAAUACAAGAUGGCAUCAUGAGUCCGCAUGUUCACAUGAUUAAAGGUAUUCCGGUAGACGAUGGGGAUGCGUUCCAUUAGAUAGUAGGCGGGGUAACGGCCCACCUAGUCUUCGAUGGAUAGGGGUUCUGAGAGGAAGGUCCCCCACAUUGGAACUGAGACACGGUCCAAACUCCUACGGGAGGCAGCAGUGAGGAAUAUUGGUCAAUGGGCGAGAGCCUGAACCAGCCAAGUAGCGUGAAGGAUGACUGCCCUAUGGGUUGUAAACUUCUUUUAUAAAGGAAUAAAGUCGGGUAUGGAUACCCGUUUGCAUGUACUUUAUGAAUAAGGAUCGGCUAACUCCGUGCCAGCAGCCGCGGUAAUACGGAGGAUCCGAGCGUUAUCCGGAUUUAUUGGGUUUAAAGGGAGCGUAGAUGGAUGUUUAAGUCAGUUGUGAAAGUUUGCGGCUCAACCGUAAAAUUGCAGUUGAUACUGGAUAUCUUGAGUGCAGUUGAGGCAGGCGGAAUUCGUGGUGUAGCGGUGAAAUGCUUAGAUAUCGCGAAGAACUCCGAUUGCGAAGGCAGCCUGCUAAGCUGCAACUGACAUUGAGGCUCGAAAGUGUGGGUAUCAAACAGGAUUAGAUACCCUGGUAGUCCACACGGUAAACGAUGAAUACUCGCUGUUUGCGAUAUACUGCAAGCGGCCAAGCGAAAGCGUUAAGUAUUCCACCUGGGGAGUACGCCGGCAACGGUGAAACUCAAAGGAAUUGACGGGGGCCCGCACAAGCGGAGGAACAUGUGGUUUAAUUCGAUGAUACGCGAGGAACCUUACCCGGGCUUAAAUUGCAGAUGAAUUACGGUGAAAGCCGUAAGCCGCAAGGCAUCUGUGAAGGUGCUGCAUGGUUGUCGUCAGCUCGUGCCGUGAGGUGUCGGCUUAAGUGCCAUAACGAGCGCAACCCUUGUUGUCAGUUACUAACAGGUUCCGCUGAGGACUCUGACAAGACUGCCAUCGUAAGAUGUGAGGAAGGUGGGGAUGACGUCAAAUCAGCACGGCCCUUACGUCCGGGGCUACACACGUGUUACAAUGGGGGGUACAGAGGGCCGCUACCACGCGAGUGGAUGCCAAUCCCCAAAACCUCUCUCAGUUCGGACUGGAGUCUGCAACCCGACUCCACGAAGCUGGAUUCGCUAGUAAUCGCGCAUCAGCCACGGCGCGGUGAAUACGUUCCCGGGCCUUGUACACACCGCCCGUCAAGCCAUGGGAGCCGGGGGUACCUGAAGUGCGUAACCGCGAGGAGCGCCCUAGGGUAAAACUGGUGACUGGGGCU